UAUUGGACAAUGGGCGCAAGCCUGAUCCAGCAAUACCGCGUGUGUGAAGAAGGCCUUAGGGUUGUAAAGCACUUUCAAUUGGGAGGAAAACCUGCCGGUCAAUACCCGGUAGCUUGACAUUACCUUUAGAAGAAGCACCGGCUAACUCCGUGCCAGCAGCCGCGGUAAUACGGAGGGUGCGAGCGUUAAUCGGAAUUACUGGGCGUAAAACGUGCGUAGGCGGUUCGUUAAGUCAGAUGUGAAAGCCCUGGGCUCAACCUGGGAACUGCAUUUGAAACUGGCGGACUAGAGUUUAGUAGAGGGGAGUGGAAUUUCAGGUGUAGCGGUGAAAUGCGUAGAUAUCUGAAGGAACACCAGUGGCGAAGGCGACUCCCUGGACUAGAACUGACGCUGAGGUACGAAA
rnacentral:rRNA from 1 species